UCCACAUUUUGGAACUGCGAAGAGCGAUAGUGGUUUAGAAGAAUGACAAUGAGCAAGUGGAACGUGGAUUUACCUUCAAGAAGACUCGGACAGGUGCUUCGACCUCCGUGUUGAGCUUCGCGUGCUGGCUGGCUGUGUCGUCCUCGGACGCCGCAUCUUCUCCAGGAGCUCCAAAGGAAGGUGGCGCGAGUGAUCUAAGCUGAGCGGCCCUGGAGCUGCCGAUGGUAUUUCUCUCAGGGAUGGAUUCGAAACACGCGACUCGGUGCUGCUGAGACGAGUCAACUUCCGCUCGAUCAAACUCCGGGUUCUCGUACAGGUGGAACUUGGAGGAGAGGCCAGCCAUCUCCGCUGCUACGGUGCUGCUGUUGCUGCUGCUGCUCGCGCUUUCCAUCAUCCUCUUCCUUCCUCAGAGCGAAUACAGGGUAAAGAUGCUUCUGCUCCUGCUGCUGCUUCUGCCCCUGCUCGUGCUCCCGUUUGUGCCGCUGCCGCAUUCCGUUUUCCUGGAUUUGGUUCGUUCCGCAAGGAUCCACAACAAACCAGAGAAGCUCAUGCGCUUGGCGUUCACACCACACAAAGCGUGCGGCUCACCUUUUCCUCUUUGUACAACGAGGCGACAUAAAAAGAAACCGACUCAACAGCGUUUAAUCGAGAUUGACAACCAUGCCAAGGCUGUUCGCGGCACAAAGAUGGUGAGAGUUCAGCGCAACUAAGAACC